CGAGAAGGCCAGGACGUCGCUGGAAUCGCAAGAUUCGGGAGGAAGGUCCGGACACCAUAUGGCAACAUAGCGGGUAACGCCCGUCCACCGUGAGGUGAGGACAAGUGCAACAGAAAGUAUGUACGGGCCUGCAAAGGCCGCUGUAGUGAAAUCAGGUAAACUCUAUGUGGUGCAAGCUCAAAUAGGUCUACGCUAAGGACGGCCAGUCCGAGUAGACGGGUAGAGUGCUCGAGGCCUGCAGCAAUGUAGGCCCUAGAUGAAUGACGCCCAAAUACAGAAUCCGGCCUACAGACUUUCUCGGUUU
rnacentral:RNase_P_RNA from 6 species